rnacentral:rRNA from 1 species
CACGCAGGCGGUCGUUCAAGUCGAAUGUGAAAGCCCCCGGCUUAACUGGGGAGGGUCAUUCGAUACUGAUCGACUUGAAGGCAGGAGAGGGAAGCGGAAUUCCCGGUGUAGUGGUGAAAUGCGUAGAUAUCGGGAGGAACACCAGUGGCGAAGGCGGCUUCCUGGCCUGUUCUUGACGCUGAGGUGCGAAAGCUAGGGGAGCAAACGGGAUUAGAUACCCCGGUAGUCCUAGCUGUAAACGAUGGACACUAGGUGUUGGCGGUAUCAACCCGCCAGUGCCGACGCUAACGCAUUAAGUGUCCCGCCUGGGGAGUACGGCCGCAAGGCUAAA